rnacentral:lncRNA from 1 species
CAUCAUUAGCAGAGUAAUGAUUCUAAGCUUUGAUAACAGUAACUAUCACAUCUAAUACUAUUCUAGUUCCAAGAGUGUCAUUUAUGUCAAAAUUGAUACUUACCUAUGUAUUGUUUUUUUUGGUCUUAUGUACUUUUACUUUUUUUAUCACUAAGUUGCUUUGGGAUAUCAUUGGUAUUUAAAGAUCAGUUUCUUUUGUAGGCUUCAUGAACAGUUGACUGAGUCAGAACAGGCUGCCCAGUGUUACAUCAAAUAUAUCCAAGAUAUCUAUUCCUGUGGGGAAAUAGUAGAACACUUGGAGGAAAGCACUGCCUUUCGCUAUCUGGCCCAGUACUAUUUUAAGUGCAAACUGUGGGAUGAAGCUUCAACUUGUGCACAAAAGUGUUGUGCAUUUAAUGAUACCCGGGAAGAAGGUAAGGCCUUACUCCGGCAAAUCCUACAGCUUCGGAACCAAGGCGAGACUCCUACCACCGAGGUGCCUGCUCCCUUUUUCCUACCUGCUUCACUCUCUGCUAACAAUACCCCCACACGCAGAGUUUCUCCACUCAACUUGUCUUCUGUC